rnacentral:rRNA from 1 species
AAAUUGAAGAGUUUGAUCAUGGCUCAGAUUGAACGCUGGCGGCAGGCCUAACACAUGCAAGUCGAACGGUAACAGGAAGCAGCUUGCUGCUUCGCUGACGAGUGGCGGACGGGUGAGUAAUGUCUGGGAAACUGCCUGAUGGAGGGGGAUAACUACUGGAAACGGUGGCUAAUACCGCAUAACGUCGCAAGACCAAAGAGGGGGACCUUCGGGCCUCUUGCCAUCAGAUGUGCCCAGAUGGGAUUAGCUUGUUGGUGAGGUAACGGCUCACCAAGGCGACGAUCCCUAGCUGGUCUGAGAGGAUGACCAGCCACACUGGAACUGAGACACGGUCCAGACUCCUACGGGAGGCAGCAGUGGGGAAUAUUGCACAAUGGGCGCAAGCCUGAUGCAGCCAUGCCGCGUGUAUGAAGAAGGCCUUCGGGUUGUAAAGUACUUUCAGCGGGGAGGAAGGUGUUGUGGUUAAUAACCGCAGCAAUUGACGUUACCCGCAGAAGAAGCACCGGCUAACUCCGUGCCAGCAGCCGCGGUAAUACGGAGGGUGCAAGCGUUAAUCGGAAUUACUGGGCGUAAAGCGCACGCAGGCGGUCUGUCAAGUCGGAUGUGAAAUCCCCGGGCUCAACCUGGGAACUGCAUUCGAAACUGGCAGGCUUGAGUCUUGUAGAGGGGGGUAGAAUUCCAGGUGUAGCGGUGAAAUGCGUAGAGAUCUGGAGGAAUACCGGUGGCGAAGGCGGCCCCCUGGACAAAGACUGACGCUCAGGUGCGAAAGCGUGGGGAGCAAACAGGAUUAGAUACCCUGGUAGUCCACGCCGUAAACGAUGUCUACUUGGAGGUUGUGCCCUUGAGGCGUGGCUUCCGGAGCUAACGCGUUAAGUAGACCGCCUGGGGAGUACGGCCGCAAGGUUAAAACUCAAAUGAAUUGACGGGGGCCCGCACAAGCGGUGGAGCAUGUGGUUUAAUUCGAUGCAACGCGAAGAACCUUACCUGGUCUUGACAUCCACAGAACUUUCCAGAGAUGGAUUGGUGCCUUCGGGAACUGUGAGACAGGUGCUGCAUGGCUGUCGUCAGCUCGUGUUGUGAAAUGUUGGGUUAAGUCCCGCAACGAGCGCAACCCUUAUCCUUUGUUG